rnacentral:rRNA from 1 species
GACGAACGCUGGCGGCGUGCUUAACACAUGCAAGUCGAACGGAAAGGCCCUGCUUUUGUGGGGUGCUCGAGUGGCGAACGGGUGAGUAACACGUGAGUAACCUGCCCUUGACUUUGGGAUAACUUCAGGAAACUGGGGCUAAUACCGGAUAGGAGCUCCUGCUGCAUGGUGGGGGUUGGAACGUUUCGGCGGUUGGGGAUGGACUCGCGGCUUAUCAGCUUGUUGGUGGGGUAGUGGCUUACCAAGGCUUUGACGGGUAGCCGGCCUGAGAGGGUGACCGGCGACAUUGGGACUGAGAGACGGCCCAGACGCGUACGGGAGGCAGCAGUGGGGAAUAUUGCACAAUGGGGGGAAGCCUGAUGCAGAAACGCCGCGUGCGGGAUGAAGGCCUUCGGGUUGUAAACCGCUUUCGCCUGUGACGAAGCGUGAGUGACGGUAAUGGGUAAAGAAGCACCGGCUAACUACGUG